UACGGAGGAUGCGAGCGUUGUCCGGAAUCAUUGGGCGUAAAGGGCGCGUAGGUGGCCCGGUCAGUCCGUGGUGAAAGCGCGGGGCUCAACCCCGCGUCGGCCAUGGAUACUGCUGGGCUGGAGCACUGUAGAGGCAGAUGGAAUUCCGGGUGUAGCGGUGGAAUGCGUAGAGAUCCGGAAGAACACCAGUGGCGAAGGCGGUCUGCUGGGCAGUGGACUCGAGAGAGUCCUUCAACCGACACUGAGGCGCGACAGCGUGGGGAGCAAACAGG
rnacentral:rRNA from 1 species